rnacentral:misc_RNA from 1 species
UACGGAGGGGGCUAGCGUUGUUCGGAAUUACUGGGCGUAAAGCGCACGUAGGCGGGCUGUUAAGUCAGUGGUGAAAUCCCGAGGCUCAACCUCGGAAUUGCCUUUGAUACUGGCAGCCUUGAGUUCGAGAGAGGUGAGUGGAAUUCCGAGUGUAGAGGUGAAAUUCGUAGAUAUUCGGAGGAACACCAGUGGCGAAGGCGGCUCACUGGCUCGAUACUGACGCUGAGGUGCGAAAGCGUGGGGAGCAAACAGG